rnacentral:rRNA from 1 species
UGGGGAAUAUUGCACAAUGGGCGCAAGCCUGAUGCAGCAACGCCGCGUGAACGAUGAAGGUCUUCGGAUCGUAAAGUUCUGUUGCAGGGGAAGAUAAUGACGGUACCCUGUGAGGAAGCCCCGGCUAACUACGUGCCAGCAGCCGCGGUAAUACGUAGGGGGCUAGCGUUAUCCGGAUUUACUGGGCGUAAAGGGUGCGUAGGUGGUCCUUCAAGUCGGUGGUUAAAGGCUACGGCUCAACCGUAGUAAGCCGCCGAAACUGGAGGACUUGAGUGCAGGAGAGGAAAGUGGAAUUCCCAGUGUAGCGGUGAAAUGCGUAGAUAUUGGGAGGAACACCAGUAGCGAAGGCGGCUUUCUGGACUACAACUGACACUGAGGCACGAAAGCGUGGGUAGCAAACAGG